GACGAACGCUGGCGGCGCGCCUAACACAUGCAAGUCGAACGAGAGAGAGGGAGCUUGCUUCCUCAAUCGAGUGGCGAACGGGUGAGUAACGCGUGAGGAACCUGCCUCAAAGAGGGGGACAACAGUUGGAAACGACUGCUAAUACCGCAUAAGCCCACGACCCGGCAUCGGGUUGAGGGAAAAGGAGCAAUCCGCUUUGAGAUGGCCUCGCGUCCGAUUAGCUAGUUGGUGAGGUAAUGGCCCACCAAGGCAACGAUCGGUAGCCGGACUGAGAGGUUGAACGGCCACAUUGGGACUGAGACACGGCCCAGACUCCUACGGGAGGCAGCAGUGGGGAAUAUUGCACAAUGGGGGAAACCCUGAUGCAGCGACGCCGCGUGGAGGAAGAAGGUCUUCGGAUUGUAAACUCCUGUUGUUGAGGAAGAUAAU
rnacentral:rRNA from 1 species